GAUUUUUAAGGCAAAGUUUUCUAGACAUGUAUUUUCAACAGAUUUUUUGUUCUGACUUCUUAGACUGCAAAUAUCCAGUUUUUAAAAAUACAGCUUUGAGUUUUCAAAACGAAGAAGAAAUUCGGAACAUCAAAUCAAAUUUUCUAAAAUUCAAAGCGCAGAAAUUCAGAUCGUACAGAAAGAAGGUCAGAGGUCAUUCACAGGGAGAUCAUCUCCGAAAAGAACGAAGGGUUUUGUCCAAUCACAGAGCUGCAGCAGAUUUCUGGCGCGAGCGUCCAGCUCAGGAGCUCAUUCUUCUGCUGAUCAUGAAUCCAGAGGUUCUUCUGUCUUCAGUCUGGACGAGGUGUGAGCGUCAUAACUCCAGGGACGGAUGAACACACGGCUCUACUGGACACGUACUCGGAGAACUAGACCAGAGGGACCCCGCCGAAAUACUGCUGCUCCCGGAACCAGAUUUCAGACAGACACCUCAGAUUUCUGAGACAAAUGGAGCUUGAAUGUAAUUUACCAAAGAAAAGGAAAUAUGAGGCAGAACGCACGCUUGCUGUUCUCUGGUGAAUUCUCUCUUCAUGAACAACAAUGUAGAGCUGUGCACACAAUGUACAGAUACUUCUAGAGCAGAUAUGAGGGAGACUUCAGUCACGUUUGGAGCACGCUCUUUCACAGAUGUCUGUGGAUGUGGACUUCUUACAAUUGAUCUGUGUUCAGGAGCUGGUUUUCCUGAGUGCUGUAUCCUCCAGGUCAUCAUUCCUGUGGACAGAUGGGAAGACUUCACUGGUCUGCAUCAUGCUGUUACUUUAGAGAGACACAGAAACGAGACGCAUGUUGUGACGACACGAUUGGAGCACUCUCUCUUCUGGAGAGGAGCAUUUUGAUAAAUAAAUACACCAUAUUACAUUCAUUGUAAUGUUUAAUCUAUAUUUAAUACAUCUUUACAUUUUUUUUAAACUUAUGUAAAAAUAGUUUUGUAACUUUAAUUUAAUGAAAUGAUCCUUGUUUACAAUUUAAGUGUUUCUAUAUAAAUUAAAUUUGAAUCUUCAAUAUUAUAAUAAUGUAGUAGCAACUAAGCUGCUAUGUACCACAUACAUAUAAUAUAAUAUAAAUAUUUGUGUCAAUACUCAGUCCUAAUUCAACUCAAUUCAGAUUUGUAUAUACAUCUGUGUGGUGUAUGUGUGUGUUACUCCUGGUUUUUAUUUCUUUAGAUUGAGACUGCAGACACUACAGCCUUGCUUGAGCUUUCUGAAAGAAUCGUAGCAUGUGGUACACAGGAUCCUAACAUGUGAUGAAAGGAAGACAUUGUCAGGUGUAGUAUCUGUGAUUCUGUCCAUCUGACUCUCCUCCUUUCUCUUCAAUCCACACAUCAGGGUUAGAUGUUUUUGGUACAUUAUACUCAUUCGUAGACUCU